AAUAAAAUCCUAAUUGUGCUAGGAAUCCAAUUAGGACUAGGAUUGCUCCUGCAUCAUAUUCCUAAUAGAAGUAGAAGAUUAAAAUUAACAACAUAUACGAGGAAAUUUAAACAACGCAAACACCUAACUCAAAAGCCAGAAACAAUAUUUUGAGAAGAGAACAGAUUGAACAGUACAUGUUUGCCAACAUUCACAAGAACAAGAGAAGAGAAAGAUUUGAGAGGGAAGAGAAACUAUUUUCUUCUAAAUUUAAAGUUAUGCUUCUCCAUCUUCAAUUUUCUUUUCCUUUUCUUUUACUUUUUCCCUUUGAUUUUCUAUUUUGUUUUUCUUCUUCUCUUCUUCAUCUUCACGUCAGGGCUUUACAGUCUCUUGUUUUGUAAAUUUUGAGUCUUUAACUUUAUUAUUGAUUUCAAGCUUGAAAUGUGAGCUAUAUAUUAUAUGGGCCAUGGCUAUAUAUUAUUUAUAAUAAAUAAUAUAUAAAAAGUUAUAGAAUUAUAAUAUAUUAAUAAUAUAAUAUAAUACUUAUACUUGUGUGUUGUGUAACGUGUUGUGUAUUAUGUAACUUUCUUAUAUAUAAUAUAUAUAUUAUAUCUCUGCUUUUCAAGUGUCAAUGAUAGUGCGUGACUGACUGACAGCCUUAGUUUUUUGCUUUCUUUAACAAAAUUACAACCACUUAAUAUUAUAUUAUUAGUCUAUUAGAUAUUAAUUAGUGCAUUUUCUAUUAGAUAUAAUUUAAUAAUUAUAAUAUAUAUUAUUUGUUUAUUCAAUUAUUUUUAAAUUUAAUGUGUUUUGUUUUUGGCUUUUUGUAAAUUAUCAAUGUUGUUAGGAUCCUGGUUUAAAAUUAUUUGUAAUUUUGUAAUUUGAAAAAUAUUUGUUUUCAUUUUUUAUGAUAGGUUAGAGAAUGUCUUCCAAAUCCACAAAAGAAUCUAAAAUGAAGAAUGAUCCCACUUAGGAUCAUUGUUCUCGAGUUGGUGACAAUAGGUUGCAUUUAAAAUGUAAUUAUUGUGGACUUCAAAGGUGGGGAGGAAUAAGCCAUAUGAAACACCAUCUUGCUAGUACCCAUGAUAAUGUUGCCCCAUGCAAAAGAUAUCCAAAUUUAGUGAUAGAAAAUUUUAGAAAGCUUCUAGGAGAAAUGGAAAACCAAACACUUACAAAUACAAAAGAAUCCUUUGAAUAACAACUAGGAGAAGAAGACCUAAAAAGAGAAAGAACUAUGGAUGCCUUUGUCAUUAAAGGAAAGGGAGUCAAAGCCAAGCAAACAACUAUAAAUGCUUUGAUUAAAAAAAGAGAACCAGUUGUUCAAAGCAUUUGUAGGUUUUUGUAUGGACAUGCAUUACCUUUUAAUUUGGUGGUAUGGAAAUGGUUGGUGAACAUGAAAGAGGUUUAAAAUUGCCUAGCUACCAUGAAGCAAGAGUUACAUUUUUGAAGAAGGAAAUUGACAAUGUGAAUUCAAUGCUAAAGAAGUAUAAAAAGGAGUGGAGCAAGACAGGAUGUACUUUGAUGUCAGAUGGAUGGACUGAUAUGAAAGGUAGGUCUCUCACCAAUUUUUUGGUUAAUAGCCCAAGUGGAACAGUUUUUCUCAGAUUUGUUGAUACCUCAGAUAUAGUGAAAGAUGCACAAAAGUUGUUUGAGUUACUUGAUUCAUUAGUGGAAGAAAUUGAGCGAGAAAAUAUGGUUCAAGUGGUGAUAGAUAGUGCUGCAGCUUAUGUAGCUGCUGGUGAAUUAUUAAUGAAGAAGAGGAAAAAACUAGUUUGUUCUCCUUGUGUAGCACAUUGCAUUGAUUUAAUAUUACAUGAUAUAGGUGAGCUACCCAUUUUUCAAGACGCAAUAAAAAAAGCAAAAGAAGUUGUAUUUACAUUUAUCGACAUGCUUGGGUCCUCAACAUGUUAGAAAAUUCUCCAAUAAGAAGGAGUUAAAGAGGGUUGGAGUUCUAAGAUUUGCUACAUCAUUUCUUACUUUGAAAAGUAUUGAUAAAGCUAAACUUCCUCUUAAAGCUAAAAGUCAAUAUUAUUAUAAGGGUGAUGCAAGAAAGUAGAGGCAACCUUGUUAUGUGAUGACAAGUUUUGGAAGUCAAUCAAGUAUUGUUUGAAGGGUGUAACUCCACUUGUUAAAGUUUUAAGACUUGUUGGAUGGUGAUGUGAAACUGGCAAUGGGAUAUAUUUAUGAAGCCAUGGAUAGAGCAAAGGAAUAAAUUGCCCAAAAUUUCAAUCAUCAACCCGCAAGAUAUGAACGCAUUUGGAAGAUAAUUGAUACAAGAUAGGAUUUGCAACUUCAUAGGCUGCUUCAUGCAGCUAGUUAUUUUUUUAAUCCCAAGUGAGUUUCUAAAUUCUAAAUUGAAAAUAUUUUGUUAGUUUAUUUCUUUAGCGAAACAAAAAAAAAAUCACUUUAUUACAUUGUAUUUGUUUUGUAAUAUAUUUUUUAUAGAUUCCAAUAUGGUGAUUCCUUUAAUGCAGAUAGGAAGUGAAAUUGGGUUUGUACAAGAAAAUAGAGAGGAUGUAUCUAGAUCUUGAAACUAGAAUUAAAAUUGAUCGACAAUUAGAAAAGUUCAAGAGAGGAGAGGGAUUGUUUGGUAUGAGUAUGGUUGUUUUAACAAGAGAUAAAAAGCAACCAGGUAUUAUGUGAUUUAUUGUUUGAUACUUUGAAUUUCCUAAUUUUUUAUUAAUGCUAGCAAAAAAAAAUAAUUAGUUAGUUAUCUCUCUCUCUCUCUCUCUCUCUAUCUCUCUCUCUCUCUCUCUCUCUCGUUUAUAUAUGUAUCUUAGCUUUAUGGUGGAAAACUAUAGGAAAGAAUGUAAAGAUCUUCAAAAUCUUGCAAUUCGAGUUUUAAGUCUCACAUGCAGUGCUACGGGAUGUGGAAGAAAUUGGAGUACAUUUGAGCACGUCCAUUGCAAAAAGAGAAAUCGAUUAGAACAACAAAGAUUAAAUGAUCUCGUCUUUGUCAAAUAUAACAUUCAACUUGAAUUAAGGCAAGUAAAAAGGGAGAAAAGAGGUGAGACAUAUGAUCCUAUUUGUUUGAGUGAUACAGAGUCCGAUGAUGAGUGGAUCACUGAACUAGAGGAACCAUGUCUAUCUGAAGACAAUUCAUGGAUAGAUAUGAAUGAGUAUUUUGAAGAUGAUGGAGGAAUUAGACGAAGUAAUAAGAGGAAACGAGAUAUUAUAAGUUAUAACUCACACGCGCUUAAUUUAUAAAAAAUAUUAAGAAACAAAUUAUGAAUUCUAAAUUUUAUUAUUUUAUAUAAUUCAUUGUUCAUUUUUUUUGUGUAGGGCCAAGAAACUUGAAAUUUGAUAGGAAAGAAAAAGGAAAAGCUCUUGUAGAUGAAGAAUAAGAAGAAUUACAAAUCAUAGAUGAUGGUGGAGAAGUCAAUGUAGAGGAAGAAGAACAAGUUGAUAUGGUUAUAUUGGAAGAAGAAGAUGAUGAUGACGAAGGACUUGCAAUUGGAAAUGAUAAAGAUUAAUGAAUGAAUAUGAUAUUAGUUUUUUUAUUUUCAAAUUCUAAUUAAAUAGUUUGAUAUUUUGAACUGAGGAACAACACAAAUUAUUAGUUUUAUUUAGUAUAUGAUUGAUAUAUUUGGAAUUUUCAAUUGAAUAUUUAAUAUCUUUUGAUAAAAUUAUUUGGAUCUAGAAUUUCAGUUGAUUCCGUGAACCUUACGAUUCGAUUUGAAUCUCAAUUCUCGAUUCGAAAAAUGAGGCUUCCGAUUAACGAUUCGAUUCUCGAUUUCACAAUACUGCUGCCAAAUUUUUAGGAAACUACUUAUGAAGAACUAAAUAUAUUUUUAUCCUUAAUGAAGGAUUAAUAGCUAGAGUUAUUACUUUUAAUGGUAAUAUUAUAGUUAGAGUUAUUAUUAUUGUUAUUUUAAGGCCCGCUUAGUAAUAUUAGGUUAGAAUGAAUGUAUAAGUAAGGAAUCAUAAAAGAGAUAUAUUAACAAAUUAAAAUCGGAAAUUAUAAUAAAAGUAAGACGCCAGUUUAGGCAAAAAAUUAAGAAAGUAAGAAUUCUCAUAGAAAUUCUUUCUUUGAGAUUUGCACGGACAAUUAGGACUCAUAUACUGAUCAGCAAGGUCCAGGAAGGACAAGAUAGCACUGGGCAGAUUAUAAAACUGUGAGUAGUGUUGGAUAACUUAUAUUGCCCAUUGCAUAUGCAUACAUGCAUACACAGAUAAAUGUUAUGCAUUCACACACGGUAGAUAAAUGCCAUCUAGGUAUAGAUGCAUUAUUUAAGUAAUUGCUUUUUCUCCUGUAUUACUUGUUGCUAUUGGAUAUUGCUUGAUUAGUUGUGAUAUGCUACAUGUAUACCUUGCCUGUGUAGAAUUGCAAUAAAGUGGGUCAUUGUUGGGUUUGUGAGGAAGGUUUAUGAUACCGUGGACCAUGUGUGGGGAGAUCGGCGCCCCCGUAUGCAUCUGAUGAAAUAUGAUAUGGAAAACCACAGUGUGACCUCCUGCUGGUAUGGGAAAAAAAGAUAGGAUAAAAAAAUGAGAGGGCUAGUCAAGUGAGGUUAAGACCGGUCGGCCAUGUAAAGGGAUCGGUUCCCUAGUGCACACGUGAUGAAAGGGCGGGCCAUGUGUGACGACGGCUCGUUGGGCGUUUUGGUGAGGCCACUAACAAAUCUCCACUUGAUGUGAUUAUGUGAAGGUGUUAGUAUUGUGAUUGUUGUUGCUAUGCCAUUUGUGUGAUUAACUGCAUGAUUAUAUAUAACUAGUCGAAUGGCUAUAUUGAAUUGAAUACGCAUUUGUGUGAUUGUGUGGGGUGAGAAGAAUAUCUAAUCCUACUCACUGAGUUUAAGCACUCACCAUUGCCUUAAUAUUUUUCGAGGUUACAGGUCCUCCAAUAACUUCUUGUCCCCUGCCUCCAGACACUUAGAAGAUACCUAGAUAAAUAUUUUGAAAUUUUAAGUUCUUAGAUUGUUUCACAAUUACAAUAGUCUUGUGUAAUAAAUCUAAAAAUUAUUAAUGUAUUAUUUAUUAAAGUUUCUAUUAUGUAAUAUAUUAAUAUGAGCCCAGAGAACUUUGGAAAUCAAGUUAUUAUUGAAUGUUGAUGAUAUUGGGCCUGAGGCUGUUUCUAUUGAUAGAAAAUUUAUUUUGUAUGUAUUUGGCUUACUAUGGGUUUUGGUGGCUUAAAACUUAUCCAAGUCUUAGUGCCAGUCCAACCCAAGGUAACGGGUCGUAACAUGAACCCAGCAAAUAUUUCUUCUAUUUUUUCCCCAUUUGUCUUUUGGAGAUUAAGACCUUGGUUGGUACUUCCCAAAAAUUACACUUUUAAGAAAAUUAUUUUUAAAAAAAUAUAAUUUGAGUAUUUUUAACAUACAAAUCAACUUUUUAAGAAGUUUAUUGCUUUUAAAUUAUAAAAGACAAUAAUGUCCAUAAGUAUAUCUAUCUAUCUAUCUAUAUCUAUCUAUCUAUCUAUUUAUAAUAUAUAUAAAUGUGGGAAUAGAAAACAAUAUUGAAAUUUCAGAUAUCGCUCUUAAUGAAAUUUGGAUAUCUAAAAUAGCCAUUAGUCAUAGCCAAUUAAAAAAUUAUAUUUUAUUAGUUGAUUGAUUAUAAUUUAUUAAAAUUAUUUUUUAAAUAAAUAUAUAUAAAUAAUUAAGAAUUUCAAAAUUUUAAAUUUUAUCUUUUUUGUAAAUUUAUUUUGUAAUAGAUAUAUAUAUGAUAAUGAGAUAUUUGAAAAUUUUAUAUUUUAGUUUUUAAAUAUUUUGAUUUUAAUUUGAUUAUAAUUUAAAAUAUUUUAUUUAGGGGAGAGAUAAAAAGAGAAAAAGUAUAUAUUUUUAAAAAAAUAAAUUUUCAAAUAGAAUAUACAUAAUAUUUUAUUUAGGAGAGAGAUAAAAGAGAAAAAAUUAUAUUCUUUUUUUUUUGUACGGUUUUAGGGAAGAUUGAAAGUUUAUUUGGAGAGGAUAGAACGUUUCUUUUAUGUUAUCUUUUUUUAUUAAUUAAUUAAUUAACUUAUUUAUUUAUUUUAGAUUUGCAACAUAAAACAAUAUAGAAAUAAAAUACUCCAACUGUUCUCUUUGUUUAGAAAAAACAGAAAAAACUCUUGGAUUAAAAAAGUUAGUUAAAUGAAGUUUUCUCCUCUAAAAUGCCAUGGGAACAAUAGCUAGCACAAAAGGCAUUCCCAAAAGUGCAUUUAUUGCCUACUUGCAUCAUUUUUUAUUAACUCUAUCACAUUUUAUUAGAUUGUGGACGUUUUACAUAAUAUGUGACAAAAAACGGAAAAAAAAAAAAUUGGAGCUAAAUUAAAGGCCAAAUUUUCGAACUUAUUCAUCAAAUGCCAUAAAUUUUCAAAAUUUUCAGCAAAAAUAAAGGAGGGAAGACUUAAAUUUUAGCUCUAACUUAUUUAAACUUAAAUAGUUUUUCAAUUCAAAUUUAAAAUUAAAAAAAAUUUUGGAUUUUUCAAAUUUGAAUGGAAUUCAGAAAGUAGUGCCCAAAUGUAAUAUAUUGCAGCCAAAAUAAAAUAGAAUUUGGAGCCAAUUUGUUUGAGUUUGCAAUCAGACUCCUCGACUUCUAAACAUUGGCCACAUAUAAAUGAAAUCAGAGUUAAUGAUUUGAUUCAAGGAAAAUUUAUUCACUUCUCCAUAACAUCUAAAUCAGUCACACCAUAUCCAAAAAUGGCCACUACUUUGCAUCCUACGGACUUGAAUCCUAUACAAUAAUGAAGCAGAAAUAACUAUAGUUAUCUAUAAUAUGAAUGACUAUGGUAAUCAAAAUACACUCGCACUUUUAAAAACAAAAUGUGGUCGUUUUCAAAACUUAACUGAGCAUAACAUAUAUUUGUUCCUAACAUUCACAUUGUGGCCAAAUUUACAAUGAUAAAAGUAGACAUAUAUUCAUCAAACACACAAAUAAGGGCUAACUCUAUAGUUAUGUGGCCAUUAUUUUGACUUUUAAUAUCAAAGCUUUAGUUUUAUGGUCAAAUUUGUAAAAACGAUCACUGUUACUAUAAAAUGAAAUGAAAAAGUGAGUAAUUUGUCGCUUGAAACAUGCGUGCAUUAAAUGUUGAGAAUAUUUGUGUCUUUCACUUUCCUUGAUAGUUGAACUUCAAUCUUAAAACAAACACAUACAUUCCAAGGGUUUUCUAGUCUUUUUAACUUAGCUUGCAUCCCAAAGUUACUAUUUAGAGUAAAAUUCUCUAUAUAAAAAAAACGCCCGAAAAGAAAAUUUUCUCUAAAUAAAGAGAACAGAGGGAGUAUUUAAAUGAACUCAUUAACCAGCCAAUAUUGGAUCCUAGCAUGAUUUGCUUUGUAAUUUUCAUUUAUUGAUUUGGCUUUAGUCCUUUUUUUUUUGAAUCCAUCAACAUUAAAUUUCAUUAAAUUAUGUCAUUUUCAGUUCAAGAACAGGUGGAUUUUUAAAAUUCAAAUCAGUAACUUUUUAAUAUAAUUUGUUUUUUUUAUUACAUGUUGAGUUUUAAAAAGAGUUUUAUUCUUAAUUUUGAUAUUUUAUUUUUUAUAUUAUUUUUUAUUUUCUUUUUCGUUACUGAAAUAAUUUUAACUACUAUCACUUUAAUUUAUUACAAGAUUUAAUAAAUAUAUAUGAUAAUAAGACAUUUAAAAAUUUGUAUAUUUUACUUUUUAAAUAUUUUGAUUUUAUUUUGAUUAUAAUUUAAAAUAUUCUAUUUAGGAGAGAGAUAAAAAGAGAGAAAAAAAAGUAUAUUCUUUUUUUAUGUUUUUAUAAUUUGUUGGAUAUAUUUUGUAAAAAAUAAAUUUUAAAUAGAAUAUACAUAAUAUUUUAUUUAGGAUCAAAAUUUUAAGUUUUAUCUUUUUUAAAUUUAUCUUUUAAUAAAUAUAUAUGAUAAUAAGACAUUUGAAAAUUUAUAUAUUUUAUUUUUUAAAUAUUUUAAUUUUAUUUUGAUUAUAAUUUAAAAUAUUUUAUUUAGAAGAGAGAUAAAAAAAAGAAAAAAGUAUAUCCUUUUUCCUUUAUAUUUGUAUAAUUUGUUGGAUAUAUUAUGUAAAAAAUAAAUUUUUAAAUACAAUAUACAUGAUAUUUUAUUUCAGAGAGAUAAAAAAAACUAUAUUCAUUUUUUGUUUAUAUUAGGAACAUUUGAAGAGAAUAAAAUUCUUUCAUAUAAUCUUUUUUUAUUAAUCAACAUAUAAAUAACUAAGAAUUUCAAAAUUUUAAGUUUUAUCUUUUUUAAAUUUAUUUUUUAAGAAAUAUAUAUAUGAGAGAUAUUUGAAAAAUUUUAUAUUUUAUUUUUUAAAUAUUUGAUUUACUUUUAUUAUAAUUUAAAAUAUUUUAUUUAGGAGAUAGAUAAAAAAGAAAAAAAAAUUCUCUUUUUAAUAUUUUUUUUCUUUAUGUUUAUAUGGUUUGAUUGGAUAUAUUUUUGAAAAAUAAAUAUAAUAUAUAUAAUAUUUUAUUUGGAAGAGAGAUAAAAAAGUAAAAAAGUAUAUACUUUUUUAUAUAAUUGUAGGAAAAAUUGUGGGUUUAUUUGGAGAGGAUAAAACGUUUCUUUUAUCUAAUCUUUUUUUAUUAAUUAAUUAAGUUAUAUACUUAUUUUAAAUUUGCAACUUAGAAUGAUAGAGAAACAAAAUAUUUGAACAAACUCAUCAAUAUUAGAUCCUACCAUGAGUUGUUUUGUAAUUUUCAUUUGUUGACGUAGCUUUCAUUUUUUUUUUUUUUUGUCUAUCAAUAUUAAAUUUCAUUAAAUUAUGUCAUUUCUAGUUGAAAAUCUGGUUGAUUUAAAUUGGUAAUUUUAAUAUAAUUUUUUUUCUUAUUAUAUUUUGAGUUCUGAAAAUAGCUUUAGUCUUAAUAAUAAUUUUUUUUUUUGUUACUGAAUUAAUUUUUUACUACUAUCUAUAAUAUAUACAAAAGUAUAAAUAAGGGGGGACCAUUAGGUUCCUAAAAUACUUCUACUAAGUUUAUCAUUAUCAUUACUAAUCAUAUUCUAAUUAUGAUAUCAAUUUAUUAUUUUUAUUAUAUUAAUAUUAUAAAUUUAAUCUCAUUCUAAUUAGGAAUUUGUCCUAUCAUAUCACUAUAUAUAUGUUUAGUUUUAAUUUCUUUUGGCUAUCAAGAAUUUGUUGCUUUUGACUAUCAAAAAUUUGUUGCUUUUGGCUAUCAAAAAUUGUUACAUUAAGCUUUUAUUAAUUUGAAAUUAUUGAGUUUACAAUCACGUCUUCUUUUUAUAGUAAGUAUUAUCUUAAUUUUCUUUAUUUACAAAUUAAUAGAAUAGCUUUUAUUUAUAGUUCUUAUAAUUUAGAUUUAUGGAUUUAUAGAUUAACUAUAAUUGUUUAGUAAUCAUGAAUAAUUACAAGCUUACAAGUUUUUCCUCCUAAAUAACAUUAUCAUGAAAUAUCUUAAAAAGAUGAACCCUCUAAUUAGGAAAAUUUUAAUUUUAUUUAUCGAUUAAAAUUAUAUAAUAAUUUUUAAUUAGAUUGAUUAUAUUAGUUUUCUUAAUCAUAUUAUUUUUAUGAAGUAACAAAUCUUGUUUCAUUAUUUUUCCGUUGCUAAGAGUUGACAAAAGGUUCUACAAACAUGUUAGCAACGGAAUAUUUUUCUGUUUCUAAAUUACAACAUGAAUUAUUUUUUCUGCCGUUCCGCUUUCUACAAACGAGAAUUUUUAUCCGUUGCUAAAGUCAGCACCAAAAUUCAGGACCUAUUUUCACUGCAUAUCUCUUCUCUGCCACAUCCGUUGUAUGCAUGCAUUUUCUUUUUUUUUUUCCCCCUUUUAUUUUAUAUUUUAUUAAUAGUUAAAUUUUAUUGAAUUGUAAGAUUAAUAUUUGUCAAGAUAAUAUAUUUUAUUCUUUUUUUUUUAGUUUCAAGUAUUUCGAUAGAAGUAAGAAAGUUAUGAAAAUUUCAAUAAAAUUAUAAUAUAAUAAAUCAUAAUUUUUUUGCAUAUAUAGGAAGUCCAAAUUUUAUAUAUAUUUAUCUAUCUACAAUAUAUAUAAAAGUACAAAUGACAUUGAGUUCCUAAAACGUCCCUACAGACUUUUAAUUUUAUUGGUUGAUUGAAGAAUAAUUUAUUUUAUUUUAAUUAGAAAACUCUUAAUUUUAUUGGUAUUUUACUAGUUGAUUAAUUAAAAAUAUUAUUAAAAAUAAUUUAGUCCUAUUCUAAUUAGAAAACUUUUGAAAUUUCUACACAUAUAAAAAUACUAUGAUUUAAUAUCUUAUAAUUUAAAUAUAUUAUAAUAUAAGAUAUUAAAUUUAUUAAUCCCUUAUUGGUAGCUCUUCUUUAUUAAUAUUAUAAAUUUAAUCUCAUUUUAAUUAGAAAUUUGACUUUAAUCCUAUUCUAAUUAUGAUAUCAAUUUAUUAUUUUUAUUAUAUUAAUAUUAUAAAUUUAAUCUCAUUUUAAUUAGAAAUUUGACUUUAAUCCUAUUCUAAUUAUGAUAUCAAUUUAUUAUUUUUAUUAUAUUAAUAUUAUAAAUUUAAUCAUGCUCUAAUUAGAAAUUUAUCCUUUAAUACUAUUCUAAUUAGGAUUUUGUCCUAUCAUACCACUAUAUAUAUAUAUGUUUAAUUUUAAUUGCUUUUGAGUUCUAGCUAUCGAGAAUUUGUUACUUUUGACUAUCACGAACUUGUUGCUUUUUAUUAUCACAAAUUAUUACAUCAAGCUUUGCUAAUUUGGAAUUAUUGAGUUUGCAAUCAUAUCUUCUUCUUGCAGUAAAUAUAAUAUUAACUUUCUCUAUUUACAAAUUGAUCGAAUAAUUUUUAUUUUAUUUAUAUUUAUUAAGCAUGUUCUAGCAACUAUAGGAAGUUUAAUCUAAUUCUAAAUAGGAAAUUAUUAAAGAUUUUAAUUUUAUUGGUUGAAAAAUAAAGUUAAUUUAAUUAUUAAAGAUUUUAAUUUCCUAUUUAAAUAUAUAUUUUAUUGAAUAAAAUAAUAUAUUAUAUAAGAUAUAUAUAGUAAGAAUAUAAAACUUUAAGGAUUUUAAUUUUUUUGGUUGAAAAAUUAAGCUAAUUUAAUUAUUGAGGAUUUAAAUUUCCCAUUUAAAUGUAAUUUCUAUUGGAUAAAAUAAUAAAUUAUAUUAUAUAUUGUAUAAGAUAUAUACAGUAAAAAUAUUAAAACUUUAAGAAUUUUAAUUUUAUUGGUUGAAAAAAUAAAAAUAAUUUAUUUUUGAAUAAAUAAAUUUAUUAGUUCGAAAAAAGUAGGGAAUAAACAUAAAUUUAUAAAAUAUAAAUUGAAUUUCUUUUCUUUUUCCUCAUAUUUCCUUUUGUUUGCUUUGGUAAUAUUGUUCUUCUUACUUUUUGCCUUAUCAUUCUCUUGAAGGUAUUAAUUAUUUUAUUAUUAAUCUGCUAAGUACAUUUCUUGAUUAAGUUUUCAAUAAGUACAAACUUUUUAAUUUUUAAAAAAAUUUAUUUAAAUCAUGAUUGUAAUUUUUUUUACAUUAAUGCUUCUUUUUUUUUAAGUUGUUGCAUAUUUUUAGUUUAAAAAUUGAUCAUACUUUGAUUUUAAUAUUACAUAUUUUAUUAUGAUAAUAAAGGAAAAAUAUUUAAAUUAUAACUCAAUUCAAAAUUUAAUAUAUCAAAUAACUAUAUUUUCUUUGGCUACUAUCAAGGAUUUUUUUUACUUUUAUUAUCAAUAAUUCAUUGAAGACUCUCUACUAUCAAGAGUUUCUUUACUAUUGCUAUAUAAAAACUUCUCACUUUAUUAUUAUUAAUGGAGGUACUAAUUUUAACUUUUAAUUUUUUUUUAUUUGGUAUAUUAUCACAAAAAAAUUUUGAAUUUGAUUACCAAUAAUUUAUAUAUAUGUGUUUAUUUUUCUAUAUGGCGCGAUCUUGGAUAAAAUGAUUAUUUAUUUUCAACUUUGUAACUAUUCCAUUUUGUAAAAAAAAUCUAUUGUAAAAAAUUAUUAAAAUUUUUCAUCAAAUGCUAAAUAUAUGUGAUAGUGGUUUGCACCUAUUCUUAUACAUGUAAUAAUUAUAACUAAAAAUAUUGAAUUUUUAUAUUACCUUUGUAAAAUUUAAUAAAAAAUAUAAAAAAAAAUAAAUUAUAAAUAAUCAUUUUAACGGGUACGUUCAACGAGUAACAACGUGCAUCACAUGUCAUUUAAACACUAGUCACUUUAAUUUAGUAAAAGAUUUAUAUCUCUCUUGAAAUAAAUAGAUGGUCUCUUAAUGAUAAAGAAUUUUUAAUUUUCUUAAUAUUUUUUCUCUUAUAUUUUAAUUCUGUUUGACUUGAAAGAAAAUAAUGUUUAUGAAAAUUGAAAAAAACUAGAAUUAUAUAUUUCUAUUUUUGAUUAUUUUUUGGAGUUUCAAGAAUUUGUGUGUAUGUCCAUCUAUUCCUUUCUCUAAUGUACUGGAUAAGUAAUACUAUCAUUAUAGCCAAAGCGAUUGCAUUAUCAAUUCAGAUCAUCUUCUCGUUUCCUUUUUAAUAUUGAUUUACGGUUGAGGUUAGAGAGUUGAAGAUUGAAUAAUGAUUUUAUUUUCUUUUUGGACACUUAUUAGGUUUAAGAAUCUGUAUUUAUAAAUUAGAGACUAAAGGAAUAGGUUUAGGAAUGUGAUUGAAGUUUAUUUUGAAACUACUUUCAUUAUAUAAAAACAAAUUAAGUACUUAAGAAGUAGCAUUAGAAGUUAACCAAUUAUAUUUAUUUUAAUGUAAAUAAAAAAUUAUGCUUUAGUAUUAUAUAGAUAAAAAAAAUUAAAAGAGCGUAUAAAAUGAGUAUAUAAAGAGUAUAAUCAACGUGCAAUGCACAUCAUAAAAAAAACUAGUCUAUAUAAAUAUAUAAAAAUUGAAACAUAAAAGCUUAUGUGACAUAUUUUUAGAGUAUUAAGGUGCUUAUAAACUAGUCUAUAUAAAUGAGUAGCAAAAUAUUUAUUUAUUGAGGGUCUGUUUAGCAAAAUUAGCUAUUUUUGGUAUAUAUUAGCUGUUUCAGUAGCGUUUAACUGUGAGCUAUUUGAGUAGCCUUUUAUGAAAUGCUACAAGCUAAACAUUACAUGAGUUAACUUUUCACAAAAUGCUAGCUUAACCUCUAGUCCAAACGUUAUGUUACUAAACAACUUUUUAAGUAGCGAUGGUCAAAAUACUAAAAGUUACUUAAAAAGCUGCUGUUGAACACAACCUGAGUUGGAAGUAAUUUUUAUAUUUUUAAAAAAUAUUUUUAAUAUAAUUAAUAGUGAACUUAAUUAAUAUCAUUAAUAAUAUUUUUAAUUUUUAAAUAAUUAAUAAAUUUAAUAAUUUCAUUAGUAUUUUAAAAAUUUUUCAUAGAGUAUUAACGUACUUAUGUGAUAAAAUAUUAAUCUAUUGAGUUGGAAAUAAUUUAAUAAUAUUAUUAAUAUUUUAAAAAUCUUUCAAGAGUAUUAAGGUGCUUACGUGGCAAAGUUAAUCUCUUAAGUUCGAAAUAAAUUUUAUAUUUUUACAAAUUAUUUUUAUUAUGAAUAAUAGAGAAUUUAAUUAAUAUCAUAAUAAUAUUUCCAGUUUUAAAUAAUUAAUAAAAUUAAUAAUAUCAUUAGUAUUGUAAAAAAAAAUUUACUUUCUUUUUUUUUUAAAUAAUUAACAAUAUCAUUAAUAUUGGUUCUCUUCAUUUUCCUUUUUCCACGGUUUCAGAAUUUUUAUAGAUAUCUAUUUCAAUGUAAAUGAAACAUAAAGAAAAUCAAAUCAUACUUUCAACAAGAAAAAAAAAGAUUGCAAACAAUAGACAACUAUUCUUAUGGCAUUUUAUUGAUCUGAUCUCGAUUAAUAUGGUGAUGGCAAUUGAAUUACGAAGUAUAUAUAGAAUUCGCUUUUUAUAGGGCUUUUUUUUAAUGAAAUUAAAAUUAAAAAUCAUUUUAUAAUGUCAUUAUGUGUAAAAUAGAGAAAUAUUUUAUAAUAGAAUUGAUGUUUAUAUUUUAUUUUGUAAGGGGAGAUGACAAUAUGUCUCAACCUAUUUCAAAGCAGGACAAAUUUUGAAACUGUUUUUAAGUUUUUAAUGCUUAUUGAAUUUAUGCUUUGAUUUUAGAUUAUUUUAAAAUAAAUUAUACUUAUAAAGAUUAUUUUAAAAUCUAUUAAAAUAUUUAUAGAAAUUAAAAACUUAAAAUUUAAUUAUAAACUUGAUUUAUGUAUGUAAAUGUCAAUGUAUUGAUCCUUUUGCAAGAAUUUAAGAGAAGAAAUUAUUCUUUAUUUUAUUUUUUUUGGACAACGCGAAGACCACUGGUUUAGAUAAUCGAAGACAAACGAUCAAUUUAUUUACCUAAUUAUACAAGUUUUUGAGUUUACUCACUUUUCCUCUAUUAUUAUUAUUAUUAUUAUUAUUAUUAUUUUUGAGUAUUGAGGAAGGGGAUUCGAACUUGAUCUAUUGACAGGCCGUAUAUGCACUUACCACUAGGCUAUAUCUUAGCGUGCAUUUUUCCUUCAUUAAUUAUUAAAGCAAGAACACGUUGAUUUUAAUUUAAAAGGAAAAGUAGAAUAUUGUUUUAAUAUCCUUCAAAGGAAAUCAAUACCACUCAUGAAUAUAUAGCAGAAGUAACUCUUUGUGGUCUGGCCCCAACAUUUAAACUUCAAUUAUGGUGAGAAGCAAAACCCAUAGAUUUAGCAUGAAAUUAUCAACUAGCUUUCAUCCAUAUCUUGGUAUAUUUGCAGAAGAGUCUUCGAACCUGAGAUUUUUUAAUUUCAAAGCCUCAGCUUUAUUCAUUUGGGUUAAACUUUAUUGAUACCUGAACCUGGUAGUUAACUAGUUUGCCUACAAAUAUAUAAAUGUUAAAACUUACAUUUGAAUACUAGAAUUGAUGUUUUAUUUUUUAAUUUUUUGUACAAUAUGAUAUUAUUAAGUGGAAAAUAAAAUAUUAAAAAUAGUUAAUAGAUUCUAUAUCUUUAAAGAGUAUUAUUCCUUGGAGGACCCAUAGAUUUAGCAUGAAAUUAUCAACUAGCUUUCAUCCAUAUCUUGGUAUAUUUGCAGAAGAGUCUUCGAACCUGAGAUUUUUUAAUUUCAAAGCCUCAGCUUUAUUCAUUUGGGUUAAACUUUAUUGAUACCUGAACUUGGUAGUUAACUAGUUUGCCUACAAAUAUAUAAAUGUUAAAACUUACAUUUGAAUACUAGAAUUGAUGUUUUAUUUUUUAAUUUUUUGUACAAUAUGAUAUUAUUAAGUGGAAAAUAAAAUAUUAAAAAUAGUUAAUAGAUUCUAUAUCUUUAAAGAGUAUUAUUCCUUGGAGGACCCAUAGAUUUAGCAUGAAAUUAUCAACUAGCUUUCAUCCAUAUCUUGGUAUAUUUGCAGAAGAGUCUUCGAACCUGAGAUUUUUUAAUUUCAAAGCCUCAGCUUUAUUCAUUUGGGUUAAACUUUAUUGAUACCUGAACUUGGUAGUUAACUAGUUUGCCUACAAAUAUAUAAAUGUUAAAACUUACAUUUGAAUACUAGAAUUGAUGUUUUAUUUUUUAAUUUUUUGUACAAUAUGAUAUUAUUAAGUGGAAAAUAAAAUAUUAAAAAUAGUUAAUAGAUUCUAUAUCUUUAAAGAGUAUUAUUCCUUGGAGGACCCAUAGAUUUAGCAUGAAAUUAUCAACUAGCUUUCAUCCAUAUCUUGGUAUAUUUGCAGAAGAGUCUUCGAACCUGAGAUUUUUUAAUUUCAAAGCCUCAGCUUUAUUCAUUUGGGUUAAACUUUAUUGAUACCUGAACUUGGUAGUUAACUAGUUUGCCUACAAAUAUAUAAAUGUUAAAACUUACAUUUGAAUACUAGAAUUGAUGUUUUAUUUUUUAAUUUUUUGUACAAUAUGAUAUUAUUAAGUGGAAAAUAAAAUAUUAAAAAUAGUUAAUAGAUUCUAUAUCUUUAAAGAGUAUUAUUCCUUGGAGGACCCAUAGAUUUAGCAUGAAAUUAUCAACUAGCUUUCAUCCAUAUCUUGGUAUAUUUGCAGAAGAGUCUUCGAACCUGAGAUUUUUUAAUUUCAAAGCCUCAGCUUUAUUCAUUUGGGUUAAACUUUAUUGAUACCUGAACUUGGUAGUUAACUAGUUUGCCUACAAAUAUAUAAAUGUUAAAACUUACAUUUGAAUACUAGAAUUGAUGUUUUAUUUUUUAAUUUUUUGUACAAUAUGAUAUUAUUAAGUGGAAAAUAAAAUAUUAAAAAUAGUUAAUAGAUUCUAUAUCUUUAAAGAGUAUUAUUCCUUGGAGGACCCAUAGAUUUAGCAUGAAAUUAUCAACUAGCUUUCAUCCAUAUCUUGGUAUAUUUGCAGAAGAGUCUUCGAACCUGAGAUUUUUUAAUUUCAAAGCCUCAGCUUUAUUCAUUUGGGUUAAACUUUAUUGAUACCUGAACUUGGUAGUUAACUAGUUUGCCUACAAAUAUAUAAAUGUUAAAACUUACAUUUGAAUACUAGAAUUGAUGUUUUAUUUUUUAAUUUUUUGUACAAUAUGAUAUUAUUAAGUGGAAAAUAAAAUAUUAAAAAUAGUUAAUAGAUUCUAUAUCUUUAAAGAGUAUUAUUCCUUGGAGGACCCAUAGAUUUAGCAUGAAAUUAUCAACUAGCUUUCAUCCAUAUCUUGGUAUAUUUGCAGAAGAGUCUUCGAACCUGAGAUUUUUUAAUUUCAAAGCCUCAGCUUUAUUCAUUUGGGUUAAACUUUAUUGAUACCUGAACUUGGUAGUUAACUAGUUUGCCUACAAAUAUAUAAAUGUUAAAACUUACAUUUGAAUACUAGAAUUGAUGUUUUAUUUUUUAAUUUUUUGUACAAUAUGAUAUUAUUAAGUGGAAAAUAAAAUAUUAAAAAUAGUUAAUAGAUUCUAUAUCUUUAAAGAGUAUUAUUCCUUGGAGGAAUCUCCAGACGACGAUCCAUAUCUGUAAGAGAUAUAAGCCCCAAGCGCUGCAAUGACAAAAACUGCCACACCUAUAUUCACCAACGAUUUUUUCUCUUCACUGCUCAUCUCCAUUGCAAAACCCUUCACUCUAUUUUUAACUCCUUUCACUUUCUCUGCAAAUAAAUCUUCCUUUGGCUGCUUUUUCUUUAUUAUUUCUGAAGUUGUUGAAGCAAUCCCUUCUUUUCUUUUCUUGCUACUUUCUUCCUCACUUUGAUCACCCAACAAGGCUUCUUUUCUUUUGUUGUUACUUAUAUCCUCCUGUCCAAACAAGGCUUCUUUUGGUUUCUCGUUUCUUUCAUCCAUUUCCUUCUUUCCUGUUUCUUCAACUUGAGGACUUUCUUUCUUAAGCUCAUUUUCUUCUUUACCAAUACUACUUGUCGUAGAAGAAAGUUUGGGUUGUGUGAUUGUCGUUUUUGGCAUUGUAAUUGUAAGAAGUCCGUUCUGGAACCUGCCCUGAAUAUUUGUCACGUCGAAAUGUUGUGGAACGGUAAAUGCUUCAUUGAAUCUCAUCCCGUUGCCGUUAGUAAUAGGCCUUGCGCCAACAACUCUAAUCACACGGGAUGAAUGCACGUACGUCACCGUUAUUUGCUCCUUUUGGAAAUCUUUAUUCAAAAAAUAAAUCAAUUCAAUUAUUAAUCCUCGUGUGCUUGAAAUAUUAAACAAAAAUACCAUAUAUUAGGAUGAACUUAUUAAUAUUAAAUUUUAAACUUGCAAUUCAAUGCAAUUUUAAAAUCUAAUGCUUGAUAAAUAUAUUUUUAUAAACCCGUAAUUGAAAUAAAAUUUCAAUUUAUUUAACCUUUAUUUUUUUAUUCAGAAAAAGAAAAGAAAAGAAAAAAAAGGCUGGUUUAAACUCACUAGGAAGGUGUAAAAGCAAAAUGUUGGCUCCUUCUUCUUCCUUGAAUUCAGACUUGGGCCGAAAAUCCUCAUACUGGAUAGCAAUAGAACCUCCUGCAGAUCGUGUCCUCGUUGCCAUUUCUAUUUCCUUUUUUCUUUGAAUUUUUCUUUUUUAUGGUUACAAGAGCUAAUUAAUUUGAAUAUAUGAGUACUAUAGAUUAAGCAUAUAUAUACACACACAACCAUAGGUAGGGCACUUCCUUUCAUCUAUAGUUUUCUUCUUGAUGAAACAAUUUUUCUUUGGUUCAAUUGAUCAGUUUUGUGGUAUUCCAUAGUCUUCUACGAGGUAUAACUUGUUAAGAACAAAGUUACAAAUUCUUUGUUUUCCCUCUACUCAUUUGGUUAUCCAUCGUUGAUAUCCCUUCUUAUAAUAUAUAUAUUUUUUUUAACGGAUUGAACUCUUAAUUUGCAAAAAUUGUUGCUAAAUAUAAAUACGUCUUAACGUUUAAGUCACUCCUCAUGGAUUAACCCAUGUACUUUGCAAACCGCAUUAGUACUAUUUGUGUAUGAUCCAAGUUUUUGUAUAUUAACAGUCAGUUAUUGCUAAAUAAUCCCAAGGUAUGAUGAUACAUCAACAUGUUCCAUAAUAUAAUAUUUUUUUAUGUUUAAUUUAACAGUAUCAAAAUCUCAAAUUAAAGCAUUUUCUAGCUAUGGCAAUCUCAAGCUUCACCUUGGGGACAUUUCUAUUCCUUUUCAGAAGGAAUAUGUUCUCCAUCACCUAGAAGAUGAUACCUUGCCUUUGCAUAUAUUAAUCUGUUUAUAUAACUUAAAUUGAAUUAAUACUUAGCAGACUCGGUAAGCCUUUUUUUUUUUUUUUUUUGGCUAAAUCAUUAAAAAGACUCCAAACUUUGCAGGUAAUUUUAAUUGUACCAUAAAUUUAACUUUUUUUCUUCUAGACCCUGAAUUUCAACUUUAGUUACAAUAGUACCUUAAUUUUAAAUUGUAUCAAAUUUAAUGAAAAAAUAUUAUUUUCAUGAGACCCACACUCUUUUAGGUCCCUUAUAAAAAACCAUUAAAUUUGUCUAAGUUACAAUAAAUUAUUGAGUAAAUUGAUAUAUUAUCCUUAAUUUAAUACCAAUUCUCUAAAAAACUAUUAAAUUGAAGUAAUAAUUAUUGGUCAUAUACAAAUGGUAAACACGGAAUCAAAUAUUUAUUACUCCUUAAAGCCACAAAUGUGACAAGUAUUAUGAAAUAGAGAUAGUAUUAUUUUAUAAUAAGAGUAGCAUUUUGGGUAUAUAAAUGUAAUAAACAAGUUGAAAAAUAAAACGAAAUAAUGAAUAACAUUUAUGACGAAACUUUUCUAACUUAAUAGACAAGUUAGAAAUGUAAACAAGUUGAAAAAUAAAACGAAAUAAUGAAUAACAUUUAUUACGAAACUUUUCUAACUUAAUAGACAAGUUAGAAAUGUAAACGGAGAAAAAUGAUAGAAACUAAAAUUAUUAAGCUCUUUUCACAAGAGAUUUCUUUCUUUAUAAAAAAAAAAAUUACUUAUGUUAUCUCUUAUCUUACAAAACAAAUACCCAUGACAAUAUAUAUAUAUAUAUAUGACUUGGCACUCUCUCCAUCAAGUAUUUCUCUUUCUCUUUUUUUUACAUAUUUUUGAAUUUCUAACUUAUUUUUUGAAAUUUUUGAUUGAAUGAUUCUUUUAAAUGUUUUUAUAAUAAUAAUAAUAAUAAUAAUAAUAAUAAUAAUAAUAAUAAAUCUAAAAUUAUAUGUAUAAAUAUCUUCCAGUUUCAAUGAUUUUUUCAUAAUGGUUUUUUUCAUAUUGCUUUAUUGUUUCUUUGGAUUAUUUUGCUUUCAAUUUUUUGAGUUUUAAUUGUGCUCUAUAAAUUUUUUUUUUUCAUUUUAAUUAUAUUGUUAUUGUUGUUUUCAGAUAUUUAAUUUGCAAAGGGACGAUAUUAGCAACUUCGAUUGAUAUAGAUCACACUUCUUCUUCUUCAAUUAAGUACAAUAAGUUGUAUGAUAUAGAGUAUGUUUAGUAGUAGGUUUUUUCUUUAUAUAUGUAGUUUUUAUACUUAUGAAUGAAAUGUCAGUAUUUAUUUUUUUAUUUUAUUAUUAUUAUUGUUGUUGUUGUUAUUAUUUUGCCAUUUUUUUUUAUCUUUUUUGCUUACUAGGUGGGAGAUUAUUAUUAUUUACAUAAAUGAUUUAAAAGAAAAAAAGAAAAACAUUAAAUUCAAUAAAAAUACAUUUAAAAUAACAAAGAGAACUUAUAAGAUGACAUCUAAUAAAUUAAAAAAUACAUGUAAUAAAUUAAAAAUAAAUACAUUUAAUAAAUUUUAAAAAAAUUUAGAUACAAUUUAUAUUUAAAAUGAUAUUCUUAUCCUUUAAAUUUUAUUUUUAUUAUUUAAAUAUUAGAAAAUUAUAUCUAAUAAUUAUAUUAUAAAAUUAAUAUUCAUUUACAAUAAUUAUCUAUAUCUAUAUUUCAAAAUUUUAGACUUUGUUUUUUUAUUAGAUCACGUAAAGAUACUUUUUUUUAAGUCUAAAUUUUAAACUUAUUACUUAUUUGAAAUAAUUAUCUAAUUUAUAUUUAAAUUUUAAAUAUUUUUAUUUUUAUUUUAUGUCUAUUUAUUUAUAAUGGUUAUCUAUUUUUAUUUCUAUAUAUCUUCAUCACCAUCAUACUUGAAGAUGAUCAAUAAAAAAAAAUUUACAAGUUAAAUAAUUUAUUUCAUAUUUGGUGAAAUAAAAUAAUUGAUAAAAUAAUUUUAUUCAUCAUCACCAUCAUACUUGAAAAUGAUCAAUUUAAUUUUCUAGAAAUAAUUAUAUGAUACGAAUAUCAUUUAUUGUUUAAUAUUCUGUUUAUGAUUUUAAUUUUAAAAAAAUAAUAAAUAAACUUGGUUUUUCUUUUAUUUGCAAUUGCAAAAAAAUUUGAAUAAAAAAAUCAUAUAAUCAAUUGCCAAAAUUAUAAUAAUUUUCUAAAAUUGAAAAAUGAACAUAAUUCAUAUAUUUUUUUUUGAAAAAAAAUAGCCAAAUAAAAAUCACAAAAUUUUAAUUUUGUCAACACAAACAACUGUAAUUGAUAACUCAUCUAAAUUUAUUUUUUAAAAGAAAAUCAAAUUCCUGCGCAAUACGUAGGCUUUUAGUUUUAUUAUAAAUUUCAUUUCACACGUGUCAUUACUUCAUCUUUUUUUCUUUAUUUAAUAUUUGUAUUUAAUCCUUUUUUUUACUUUCUAAAUUUUCUUUUAAACUUUAAUGGCCUUUUUGCUCUUAACUUAUCUUUGAUAUUAUUUUCUUUAACUCUUAAACUUGAUUUUUUGUUCAAGGUUAAUUUGACUCUAAUGUUUUGCUUGUUACACUAUUGUAUCCUUUUGUCAAUUUUUUCUAUUUUUUCAUCAAAUUUCAACCCCUGUAUCUGCUAAUUAUUUUGUCAAAAUUAAUUGAUUUUGUCCCUAUAUUUAACAAAAAAGUAUAAAGAAUUAAUAAAAGAGUAUAAUAUUGUAAGAGAGGCCAAAAAAUAGAAACAAAACUAUGUAUUUUAAAAAUAUAUGGGUAAAAUUAUAUGUUUUAAGAAAAUAUAAGAAUAAAAUAAUAUUUUCCAAAUAUUAUCAUUAAACUUUACAUUCGCCCCCUCAAGAUUCAAAAAUAUUAUUGUUUGCUUGUUCAAAUUCUAACUUUCGUUUAUAAAUUCCUAAAAUUGCACAAUAAACUCUCAUUUUCUAAAGUUUAACAUUUCAAAUAGAAAUAAAUAUUAUAAUUUACAAAAUUUACAAGGAUGUAAACACAAUAAUACUUAACCAAUCAAGUGUAGUGUGGUUAAUUUUUUCAUUUAUGUGGUGGGUGGAAGGCUUCAAGUUUGAAAAAUCUCGACUAUGAAAGUUUUUCCAUAAUUUGUUGAGUAAAUGGAAUGGUUACCUGUGUUUUGUAACUCACAAUACUCUUUUAUCCGUUGAACCUUCUAAAGAAUAAAAAAUACAAUAAUACUUUAAUAUAUUUAAACAAAAAGGAAAAAUCUCCAAUUUAUUUUUCUAUUCUAUUUAUAUCAAAAGAAUUUCAAUUAAGUUUUUAGUGAUUCAAAUGGUAAAAAACAUCUGAAUUUAUGGAGGAUUUCUGCAGCUUUAUUAAACAAAUACUUAUAGAGUAAUGAAGCUAGAAAGAAAAGAAAAGAAAAAAAAAAAACUUUGUGCUAUAUUAGUAAUAAACAAUAAAAAAAAUUCCAAUUUUAGCAGAAAUAAAAAAAAAUCAAUACCAAUAGACGUUGCCCUCAUAAAUUAAUAAAUAAAUAAUGAUUAGUUUUUUCCAUUAAGUAGUUUAAAAAAUUAAAAACACCCUUAAAAAUAAUUGUUAUAUGGAGAUUAUAUAGUGGACAAUUAUAAAAAUUGAAGUUCUUAUUAUUUUAUGUUUGAUAUUUUACAAUCAUUUAAUAGAAAAAUCAACUAUUGAAUCUUAUAAUAUAAUAAAAUUAUAAUGCAAUGGUUAAAUAAUGUAAUUUUGAAAAUUAAGGUUCUUACCAGUAUAUUUAAAAAAAAAGCUACAUACUAAUAAAAACUUAGUGGCUCAACAAGUAAUUUAUACUAUUUGAAUUCAAUCGACGUUUUCUGUAAAUUCAUUGAAAAAAUAAUUGUAGAGAAAUGCAGGAAAAAAUAAAAGAAAAAAAAAUGUUCUAUAAAAAAAAUGUUCUAUAUUAGUCAGAAACAAAAAAUAAAUCUAAUUUUAGCAAAAUAAAUAAAGCUAUACGGGUACACAUCGCCCUCACGUCUUAAAGAAAAGAAGAAAUAACUGCGGCACGUUCUUAAUGUCUCCCAAUCAAAGAACCAAAGAAUACAUUAAAGAAACGGCCUUACAAGUAACGACAAAACCGCCAUCACACUUUUUGUUUCUCUUCUUUCUCCACUUUCUACUUCCACUUCCCCCACUCAUACUCCGCCAUGAAAGCAUCUUCUUGAAAACCCACUUUCUUCCUUUCCUUCUUUUUGUUUCUGAUCAUUUAACACUUCACAGUUUACACUGCUACGCCUUACUUGUACUGUUUUGUUUCUGCUUUCCUUGUACUCUCUCUCUCUCUCUCUUUCUGAUUUGCUCAUACAGAAUGUGCUUGCUUCAGACUAAUCUUACAUUCUUUUACAAUCAAUUUUCUUCAUUUUGCUGCUCUUGGGCUUUCAUUUUUGUCUUUAAUGAUUUUUUGAUGUGACUGUAGGAAAAGGACUCGACAAGUGAAGAUGGGUAGGGUUUUAAAAGGGAUUUUGUGGUUCUGGGUACUAGGCAUUGCAAUUGCAGAAGCAAAGUAUGUGCAAUACAAAGACCCGGAACAACCGGUAGGAGCUCGUGUUAAGGACCUAAUAAGUAGAAUGACUUUAGAAGAAAAAAUUGCUCAAAUGGUACAAAUAGACAGAUUGAUUGCCACCCCUCAACUUAUGAAGACCUACUCCAUUGGUAUAUUUCCGUUUCUUUUCUUUUCUAAUUUAACCUUCUUGUAGUUAAUGUUUUUUUUUCUUUUUUUUUUUUUUAAAUUUAAAUGGUGAUUUUGUUUUUGCUGCUGCAAUUACUUUUAAUUAAUGUUUUUUUUUGUCCCUUUUGAGGAGCAUUGCAAUUGUCUAUUGUCAAAGUAAAAUAAAUCAUUGUGACAUUCAUUGUCAUUUCCAUUCUUGGGUCUUUUUUUUUUCAAAUUUCCAAUCUAAAUCCUGAUAUCCAUUUCUAUGGAGAAUACCUAUUGAUUGAUAGGAUGCAACCAGCCAAUAUUUCUUUUGAAAAUAUUACUUUGUUUGCUUUGGACUUUUUUGGGCAAUAACUGACUCUGAGUAACUAAAAGAGUGUGACAGAUUAUUCCUUAAUGCUGUAAUUUCGAUAAAUUGUUUUAUAUAUAUUUAUUGUGAAUGGGAUUGCCAAUUUAUGCAUAUCAAUAUCAGUUGAUAUGCUUGUACAUAUUCUUAACUAUAUAUAAACAUUGCAAUAUUAUGCAUGUUGAAUAAACUUCCUGAAUGCAUUAUGAACGUUAUAAAUCUUCUAUAGUUCCAUUCAAGUGCAUUUGCUUUCAAUUGCCAUUUAUUCUAUUGUACCUGUUGCUGCAUUUAAUUGGGUCUCACAUUAAACUACUGGCAGAAGAAGCUAAAAGACUGGUUUGUCAUCAAUUUGCAACUGGGAAUGACUAUUAGGUUGAUGAUAUGAUAAAAGUAUCUGAGGAUAAGUGUGAUUGUCACCGAAAGACUGAGAAAGGCAGGCCUGAACUUUUCUCCUUGCUGCAGGUAGUGUACUGAGUGGUGGUGGGAGCGCACCACUUCCUGAGGCGAGCGCUGAGGAUUGGGUUAACAUGAUAAAUGGGUUUCAAAAUGGGUCAUUGUCUAGCCGUUUGGGGAUUCCAAUGAUUUAUGGUAUUGAUGCUGUUCAUGGACAUAACAAUGUUUAUAAUGCUACAAUAUUUCCUCAUAAUAUUGGGCUUGGAGCUACCAGGCAAGUACAAAUUUUGAAGUCCUUUGUCUAAUGGUUGUUAAAAGAGUUCUCUCCUGACUCAUCAAUCAGUGAUUUUUAUUUUUUGUCUGUUGCAUAAAAUAAAAUUUCUUAAUUUUGUCUCUUUAGUCGACUACUAAUUAAGUGUUAAUUUUUCCUCUGAAAAAAAAAAUUUUUUUUAAUUAAAUUAAACCAUGCUGUAUAUAAGAUAUAAUAGAUAAAACAUACAGUUCUUUCUUGUGAAAAAGUAAUAAGGAAGAAAAAUUAAUGCUAUUAUUCUCGUAAUUAGUUGUUAAUGCUACCUCUUUACUUAUUGGUCUUUGAAUCAAUUUAUUUUAUUUAUUUUUCAGGUUACUGGAUAGUUUUUUUAAGCCCACUAAGAUAAUUACUUAUUCUAUGUUUUAUUGAACUGCUUAUGAAUAGAGAUCCUGAUCUGGUCAAGAGAAUUGGCAGUGCCACUGCUCUUGAAGUUAGAGCCACAGGGAUUCCUUAUGUCUUUGCUCCAUGCAUUGCGGUACAUAAACUGAGUUUAAAUUUGUUCAUCAAGUGUAGGAAUAUAUCAGUCUUUUGCACUUGAGAAUGUAUAAAUGAGUGUGUUUUAUGUGUUCUUCUCAUUUUCAAUAGACCUGUCAUUUUUCUUGCUUUCUUCUUUGAAGGUUUGUCGGGAUCCAAGGUGGGGUCGGUGUUAUGAAAGCUACAGUGAGGAUCACAAAGUUGUGGAACAGAUGACUGAGAUUAUACCUGGUCUACAAGGGGAUGUACCUGCCAAUUCUCGGCGAGGAGUUCCUUAUGUUGGUGGAAAGUAAGAACAUACUAACGUGACAAUCAUUCAUAAAAUGGGGUUAACAAUUCAAGUCUCUGUGGCAUUGUUAUUGCUGGGUUUUGUGUUGACUUCUGAAAUCAGACAGAUUGUAGUGCAUGCCAUAAAUCUUAGUUUUUAAUAAUAAAAAAAUUACUUGUUUGGGAUACAUGGAAACAGUAACAGUUAAAUGAAAUCAUUUAUUGUAUGCUUAAACCGAGGCACCUAAAAACUUCUUUCUCUGUGCUGUAUUGCCCCUUCCUGCAAUUCAUACUCAACUUUUCAAAUAUUCAUCAGGUUUCUUUCUUUUCAAUAUGAAUUUCUUUGUUAUAUUCAUUUAGACUUUAUUGUUGUAGGAAAAAGGUUGCAGCUUGUGCAAAGCACUUUGUGGGUGAUGGUGGAACAACCAAGGGUAUCAACGAGAACAACACAGUGAUUGACAUGCAUGGGUUGCUGAGCAUCCACAUGCCUGCAUAUUCUGAUUCAAUUAUCAAGGGUGUUUCAACAAUCAUGGUGUCGUACUCCAGUUGGAAUGGGGAGAAGAUGCAUGCAAACCGUGAGCUAAUAACUGGCUUCCUCAAGGGUACCCUCAAGUUUAAGGUUAAGUUCCAAGUAUCAACUUUUAUAUACUGCGGUUGCUAUAAAUUUUGUAAAAAUCUAGGUGAACCCAUAAGAUAAGUAAAUUUUGUGCCUUUGUUCACAAAAAGGGAUUUGGACAUAGACAUGUUGAUACCUUGUAGAAUUUCCAUGUUCUUUUGUUCCUCUUAUACUUGAAUGUGUUUUAAGAGGCAUCCUUCUGCUAUAUAUUUUUUAUGAUUUCAUACAUCCGUUAUUACCUCAAAUGUGUAUGAUAUUAUUUUAUUUUUCCACCUUACCAUCUUAGAAUAAUUCUUUUUCAUUUCUUGUGCUUGUAUGUCCGACCAGUAUUCUUUAUUCAUGCUAUCUUACUAAUUUUCACUUUUGGGGAUUUGUUUUCCCUAAAUACACUAUCAUAUGGUCUUUUCAUCAUUUGAGUACACAAUCUAGCUUUGCAACAUAUAAGCAACAUGAACUAUGGCAUCCAAUGCUAACUACAGUGGUGUAUUGGAAGCAAUUGCAGGGUUUUGUUAUCUCAGAUUGGCAGGGUAUUGACAGGAUUACGUCACCACCACAUGCAAACUACUCAUAUUCUGUCCAGGCUGCAAUUCAAGCAGGAAUUGACAUGGUUAGCAGCUAACUUAUUGAACAAUGACAUUUGAGAUUGAAUUCAAGUCAAACUUUUUUGGCCUUGUGAUGGCAUAUUCAAAAAAUGCUAAUUAGCUUAAAAUUGAACUUUUCAGGUCAUGGUUCCAUUCAACUACUCUGAGUUCAUUGAUGAUCUUACUCAUCUGGUCAAGAACAAUGUUAUACCUAUGGAUCGCAUUGAUGAUGCUGUAGGAAGGAUUUUGUUUGUCAAGUUUACCAUGGGCCUCUUCGAAAACCCUUUGGCUGAUCUGAGCUUUGUCAAUGAACUUGGAAGCCAGGUCAGCGAGAUUCUUAAGUUUCUAGUGGGCCUUUUGAUAUGGAUUUGGCCCGAUAUGCUAUUGGAUGAUGUGAACUUUCAAGUAAUAUCUCUCAAUGCCCAUAUAUAUGUGUGCUUGAAUUAGCAGCCAUACAAUUGGUUUGCUUCCAGAUUGGCUUGCUUCCAGAUCUUUCUGCUGUGCAGAUUUUCUUAUAGAAGUUAUCUUACAGUGAUGAUACUGUCAUAAUAAUGCCAUGAAUGAUGAAUGCCCUUUUAAUCUAGGAACAUAGGGACUUGGCAAGGGAAGCUGUGAGGAAAUCUCUUGUGCUGCUGAAGAAUGGAAAAAAUGGAACCGAUCCAUUACUACCCCUUCCCAAGAAAGCUUCAGCAGUUCUAGUUGCUGGCACUCAUGCAGAUAAUUUGGGCUAUCAAUGUGGUGGAUGGACAAUUGCAUGGCAGGGAUUUAGUGGCAACAACUAUACAAGGGGUAUGUUUUACUUAAUAUAUAAUUACAAAUUAUAAUGCACAGUACAAGAUACAUUCAAUUAAAUGUUUCUGAACUUGUGUUUUUAUGUUCACUUGUAUGUACAAUAUAACGGGAGAAAACAUGGUCACUUGUAUAAUUACUUUAGGAAUCUUGAUGGAGUAGGAAUGCAAUUUUCUUAAGGGUCUUGUUUGGAUAGAUAGUCGUUUGAGAUUAAUGUGGAUUUGUAUUAGAGCUUCAAGUGCAAAUUAUAAAGAGCAACAUUCUACCAAAUUCAAAUAAAUAAUUAGCUAUAUAAUGCACCCCAAUAUAGGGGUUACAAUUUACAGCUGGUUUAUGUAACCAUCCAAAACAACUUUGGAAUACAUAGCUUCUUGGGAUAUUUGUGAAGGAUCUGCAAACUUUUAGAUUGUGUGCUAAAAUGUUUGUUAUGUAUAUACAGUGUUGAAUAGCAGUGUGUUGUUGGACGCUGUUUUCUUGUCUGUCCGAAAAUUGUCUCAAUAAUUGGGAUGGGUCAGCUUCUUUGCAUUUAAGUCCUAGGAUAUACCUUAUAGCACUUUAUAACCAUGGACAGGUAGUUAGCUAGACAUAAGCUUGUCUAUUUUCAGAUGCAUUAAAAUAUGUAGUCCAAAGUGGUCUUAAACAUUUCUCUGUUGCAGCCAAUUCUAAUCCUGAGUAAUUAUUAAUUUCUAAAUGUUGUUUAUAUUUUUUGGUGACAAUUCCACUGUAGGAACUACCAUCCUUGGUGCCAUAAGAUCAACAGUUGAUCCAAGUACAAAAGUUGUCUUCCAAGAAAAUCCCGAUAGCAACUUUGUAAAGUCCAAUAAAUUUGCCUAUGCUAUUGUUGUUGUUGGUGAGCCGCCUUAUGCAGAGACUGCAGGUGACAGCACAGACCUCACAAUGAUGGAUCCUGGUCCAAGUGUUAUAAACAAUGUCUGUGAGGCUGUCAAGUGCAUUGUUGUCAUAAUCUCUGGCAGACCUAUUGUGAUUGAACCGUAUGUUUCCUCAAUUGAUGCCUUGGUGGCAGCAUGGUUACCUGGCUCUGAAGGCCAAGGCGUAAGUGAUGUCCUUUUCGGAGAUUACGGAUUUACUGGAAAACUCUCAAGAACAUGGUUUAAAAAUGUAGAGCAACUACCAAUGAAUGUUGGGGAUUCACACUACGAUCCACUCUUCCCCUUUGGCUUUGGACUUAAGACUGGAUCAGUUCCAAGUGUUGUGGCAAGGUAAAUUUUACUAAUUACUUGUGUUGAUCAGCAUUGAUGUUUUGAUUUAUGACAUUUGCUUCAAAUACAUGUGAAUACUCAUUACAUUUGGAUUCGGUUGACCUUCGUCCAGUUUUUUUGUUUUUAAACAGACAACUGUAUAUCUUCAUGGCCUGUAAUUGACAGCAAUUGAUAUUUGACAGUAGAAUUUUUUUGUUUCCGAAAAGAACACGGUGUGUACCCAUUAAUUUAUUGGUUUGUUUUUUUGUAGGUCAUCAUCAGCUGGUGUUGUUGGGAGGCCAUCUAUCCUUUCUGUCAUGAUUCUUGUAAUUUUCUGUUUGUAUAUAACAGGUACAUUUUUAACCUGAGUGACUAUCAACUAGUUAGCUGCUUCUGAUGAUUGAAUAGAUGAUGUAUUCUUCCUGAACUUUCAAUGAUGAGUUUCCACCAUUUCUGUUUGAUUAAUGAAUGAUAUAUCCAACUUUAAGAUGUCGAAUCUAAAUUAUUCCAGCAUUCUGAGAUUCUUGGACUUGCAUUACUUAAUAAAUAAUAGACUGUAACAUUUUCAGGUAGCAUGACAUCAUACAAAAUUUGGGCUAAUCACUUUAACAUUGGUCCAAUGCAUAAACUCACCCUGCAUUUUACUUGUUAAAUAGUUGAAAAUUGUAAAAAUUAUUAUUUAAAAAAUUACAGUAACCACACAUUAAAAUAAAAAGAUUUGAAGAUUUGAAGCGUUGAAAGGAUCUGAUGUUGUAGCCAUUGGCCAAUUGCAUAUGCAACUAGUGCUGAAUAUAUUUCAGUUAAAUCCAUCGAUCUGAAUCAUUUUUUCAGCACGAAAAUUUGGAGUUGUUUUCAGCAUGGACGAGGAUUCUUAUAAAAGGCUAGAUCCUUUCUUCUCGGUUCUCAAUUUUGCACUCAUUUAAUCAAUUACAUUUAAAUAUAAUUUAUUUCUAGAAAAUAAUGUGCUUGAAAAAUUAUUAAAAAUAUGAAAUAUACAUGAUUCUAAAUGGUUUGUCUUAAAAAUUAAAAAUCUAAAUAUUUUUAAUUAAUAUUCAAUUGCAACUGCAUAUCAAAAAAUAAGUUAUUUAGAAAAUGUUCUCUCAUAAUAUUUUUCUUCAAAAAAUACUUUACAAAAUAAGUUAUUUUCAAAUUUUUUUUUUUUUUUUGCACAAACAAGGAAAAUAUAUUAACAUCAUAAGAUAAGAGUACAAGAGGAAAAAUAAUUGAGCACAACCAAGAGCAUACAAGCUUGAUUUAAAAUAAAAACAAGAUUGUUAAAAGAGCCUAUGUCUAAGGGAAGGGGGAGUAACCCACUAGCAACUGCUGCGCCAUGAUGCUAAACUUCCUUUUCGGUGACUUUCUAAAAUCUGCAAUUGAUCUUUAACAAACAAGAUCCGCAUAAAUCCAUCUUGAUGUAGAGGAUGGACCAAAUCUCCCUUGUACUAAGCCACUUCCAUAGAGAAUUUCUGUCAAUACUUUCCAUGAGUGGUUGCCCUAAAUUGAGAAGUUCAGGUGACCCCAAAUAGAAACCAAAUGCAAGAAUAGAUGCAUGGAUCUGUCUUGAAAAAGAGGCCAAAAGCAUAUUGGAGAGGAUACCCAUAGAGGGCAACAAAACAAAAUAGAAAGGAGAAAUACUAACACACUAAAUAAAAAAUAACAGAAGAGUAGGUGCGAAAAAGAAGAAAAGAAAAAGGGAUUGCCGCUAGCUAAAGAUUUAUCGCCAAAAGACACCCAAAGAAAAGAAAGAAAAGGCUCUAAGUUUUUUAGAGAGAAGGAUGAGCAUUAGGUUUUUAGAGAGAGACUACCAUUUUUGCUUUUCUCUUUUAUUUUCAAAAACAAUAAAACCUUCAUGACAUUUUUCUUUUUAUUUAAGUUAUACUAAGAUAUAGUCUAAGAGGAUUUAGGCUUCCCUCUAAAAAAAUAAAGGGAAUUUAGGCCUAGUGUAAUGGUAGAGUCCUAAUGCAUUUUUAUGAGUUAACUUGGGUUCGAUGCCACUGCAUCUCCUCCCCUCUUAUGACAAUAAGUCAAUAUUUGAAAAGAAAAAAAAAAAAAACUAUACUUCUA
rnacentral:lncRNA from 1 species